rnacentral:rRNA from 1 species
GUGGAUUAGAUACCCUGGUAGUCCACGCCGUAAACGAUGGGUGCUAGACGUUGGCGAGCUUGCUCGUCAGUGUCGCAGCUAACGCGUUAAGCACCCCGCCUGGGGAGUACGGCCGCAAGGUUGAAACUCAAAGGAAUUGACGGGGGCCCGCACAAGCGGUGGAGCAUGUGGUUGAAUUCGACGCAACGCGCAGAACCUUACCAGCCCUUGACAUGGGAGUCGCCGGGACCAGAGACGGUCCCUUCGGUUCGGCCGGACUCCGCACAGGUGCUGCAUGGCUGUCGACAGCU